CGCAUGCUGCGGGGUGCGUGAUACGACCUUAUCCCGGAGGCCGAUGCUUUCUCGCAUAGGGAGCUGUCCCUGUCCUUGUCCAACUGUUUUGCCAGUAGGCCUUGGAUACUUACGGCGCCCACCUGUUUUACCAGGGCCCCGCGAGGAUACUACGCGUACACGGCCCACGCGGCACUUUU
rnacentral:other from 1 species